GAAGCGGCAAAAGCUCAAAUUUGAAAUCUGGCACCUUCGGUGUCCGAGUUGUAAUUUGAAGAUUGUAACCUUGGGGUUGGCUCUUGUCUAUGUUUCUUGGAACAGGACGUCACAGAGGGUGAGAAUCCCGUGCGAUGAGAUGCCCAAUCCUAUGUAAGGUGCUUUCGAAGAGUCCAGUUGUUUGGGAAUGCAGCUCUAAGUGGGUGGUAAAUUCCAUCUAAAGCUAAAUAUUGGCGAGAGACCGAUAGCGAACAAGUACAGUGAUGGAAAGAUGAAAAGAACUUUGAAAAGAGAGUGAAAAAGUACGUGAAAUUGUUGAAAGGGAAGGGUUUGAGAUCAGACUCGAUAUUUUGUGAGCCUUGCCUUCGUGGCGGGGUGACCCGCAGCUUAUCGGGCCAGCAUCGGUUUGGGCGGUAGGAUAAUGGCGUAGGAAUGUGACUUUGCUUCGGUGAAGUGUUAUAGCCGGCGUUGAUGCUGCCUGCCUAGACCGAGGACUGCGAUUUUAUCAAGGAUGCUGGCAUAAUGAUCCCAAACCGCCUGUCUGAAAAAAGAACAAACUGGCUGCAAAUAACUAGCCUCCCAGGUGGUCGGGAGGGCUUCACCAGCACCUCCACGUACUGGAACAUAUGGCGUGAAGGAGACGUGUUGGCAUACUGAGAAGAUCCCCCUGGGCGGAUGUAAUCGUUGUCAUAAAUGAAAAUCAUUCGUUCAAAACCAG
rnacentral:rRNA from 1 species